AUACGGAGGAUCCGAGCGUUAUCCGGAUUUAUUGGGUUUAAAGGGUGCGCAGGCGGCCAUUUAAGUCAGCGGUUAAAUCGUGGGGCUCAACCCCAUUCUGCCGUUGAUACUGGGUGGCUUGAUUGCGGUCGAGGUUGGCGGAAUUCGUUGUGUAGCGGUGAAAUGCAUAGAUAUGACGAAGAACACCGAUUGCGUAGGCAGCUGACCAGACCGCAAAUGACGCUCAUGCACGAAAGUGCGGGGAUCGAACAGGAUUAGAUACCCUGGUAGUCCGCACAGUAAACGAUGAAUACUUGUUUUCGGCGAUAUAAUGUCGGAGGCAAAGCGAAGGCGAUAAGUAUUCCACCUGGGGAGUACGCCGGCAACGGUGAAACUCAAAUGAAUUGACGGG
rnacentral:rRNA from 1 species